rnacentral:rRNA from 1 species
GAUGAACGCUGGCGGCGUGCCUAAUACAUGCAAGUCGAGCGAACAGAUGAGGAGCUUGCUCCUCUGACGUUAGCGGCGGACGGGUGAGUAACACGUGGAUAACCUACCUAUAAGACUGGGAUAACUUCGGGAAACCGGAGCUACUACCGGAUAAUAUAUUGAACCGCAUGGUUCAAUAGUGAAAGACGGUUUUGCUGUCACUUAUAGAUGGAUCCGCGCCGCAUUAGCUAGUUGGUAAGGUAACGGCUUACCAAGGCAACGAUGCGUAGCCGACCUGAGAGGGUGAUCGGCCACACUGGAACUGAGACACGGUCCAGACUCCUACGGGAGGCAGCAGUAGGGAAUCUUCCGCAAUGGGCGAAAGCCUGACGGAGCAACGCCGCGUGAGUGAUGAAGGUCUUCGGAUCGUAAAACUCUUUUAUUAGGGAAGAACAAAUGUGUAAGUAACUAUGCACGUCUUGACGGUACCUAAUCAGAAAGCCACGGCUAACUACGUG